GGAGACUUCUAUUCCCCUCACAGAGCUACAAUUCCCAGAUUGGUUUAACAAUCAAUCCAUCUUCCCUGGGAACUUUGGGAAUUACACUACAGCUCUGUGAGGGGAACAGGGGUCUU